GGAAUCACGGAGGCCACAGCAGCCGCACUAUUAUACAGACGGCGCUGGCGGCGCCGGUAUUUUCGUAUUCAACGCGACAGGUAGAAUACGAAGCUACGGCGUGUUGUUAUUGCUCCGUCUUCAACGGUUGUCGUGCGAGCUGCGUCGAUGUGUUUGUUUGACCGUGUGUUAUUAGGUUUGCUGUAAUGAAAUGAGACGUAGUUCGCGAGCACGAAAGUGCCAGAAGAUGGCUUGAGUCUCGCUGUAAGCACGCCGUAUGCGUGGCGCGCCAGCUAAAUGUGGACCAACGAUUUUCAUGCCAUGGAGUGCGUUCCCUUUGUCUCCGCUUGUGUUCGUGGAAAGUUUGGUGGACGGCGCAGAGAAGUAAUGCGUAUUAUUAGCGCGCCUCAGCUCGUCCACUACCCAGUGGCUUGUUUGCUGCAAGUAACAUCGCAGACGCAUCACUGGAAACUUGGAGAGUGCCUUUCGACCUCGUCGUACUGUUGAAACGUGGCGAGGCCGUGACCCACAACAUUAACUACAAGAUCGAGGAGCCUCAAGAAAUGCCGACCCUGUGGAUAUAUGGCUGCAGCAGCAUGGCGUGUGAUCUGGAUCGUCAUGACAGGCUCCACCGUCGCCGUUACUAGACGGACCAAAUGAGGCCAAAAACUAGCCUUUCCUCGCUCCAUUCCUGGGAAGUGAAAUAGCAGGUGGUCAUGUAAGAAUGAACUUGCAACCAUGUGGGCAGUAGCCAAAGCUCCCUACAGUUCAUGCUGGUGGUGGAAUGAUAAGACAAACCGCAAUAUUUAUUUGUUUACUUAUUCACUUAAUAUUUAUUUAUUCAUAUCUCAUGAAUACUGUGCAGUUUUUUUCGCAAGGAGUCAGGUAAAAUUAAGAAAUAUUGUUGCAUCAAAGUAAACGUUAUUUGAAAAAGCAUAAUUCACAUAGCACGAAUUCAUAGAAACUGUAAAUUUUGAAGAAACAGAGCAGUAAGGUUAACAAAUCUUAUAUAACAAAAAAUGAGAUCACAUUUCUGUUGGACCUAAUACCAUAAUUUAAUCUGUCAAAUUAGAGAUACCAUAUGCUGCUCUAAUAUACAAUCACUAAUUUAUGAGUAGAUGCGCGAAACUCUCAAACAUUGCAACAAUUUCAUGCUAGCUGUAAAUUCAUAUAUACAGUUUGUUGACUUUAGACAUAGCAGAUGGAGUCUGCAGAACUAUGAUAUCUCUUUCUGGCACAGAGACGGGCAUUAGUAAGCUUCGUGGUGUUAUUUUUCUUAAACCUGCCAAAUAGUCCUUCCUGCAACAGGUAGAAUUCUCAAAUGCCGCAAACUUAAUUCAAAUUAGUGCUGUGGUUGUCUCAAAAGUAUUUCUGUAUUUUGGAUGUAUUUGAGUAGGAAAAUUUACAGAAUUAACGAACUUGUGCUAGCUCUUUUUUUUAUUUACAGUUGUAAACUAAGUCCUUUUCCUUCAAGUUUUGCUAUUUUCAGCAAAUUUUAAUAAAAAUUGAUGGUGUUAAUGUAAAAACUAUAAUUUAAACAUUUUUAAAUGUAUCAAACCUCAUCAAAUUUGGUUGCAUAGUUGCCGAGAAAAACGAUUUUACUGUUCAUGUGCAUUACAUAGGAGCUCCUGAGCUAGAUCUCUUUUUUAGUCAUUGCGUGUGUCGGUCUGGUUUGUAUUUCUCACCCUAAUUAGAAUAUUGGCUCUGAUCUCAAAAUUGUUUCCCUUACAACGAAAUACAAGCUUUUAAACUUUUUACGAUAUAUGCUGUACUGCUCUAUGAUAACCCCUGUUUGCCACAUUUUUGCAGGGCCUACCAGUGCUAAUUUUACACAUAAACAUAGACUAAAAUGCUGUGUGGUUUCGGUAUAUGGUGUACUUAUCUGUGAAAGCCAUUAUUUGCCACAUUUUUGCAGCGACUGCCAGUGUUAUUUUUGCUCAGACUAAAAUGCUGUGUCGUUUCGUCAGGCUGACACAACAUUGCAGUGCACAUUCAUAUCAGUCUAUUUUCAGGCUUUAGUAUCCAAACAUUUAAUGUGCACUGCUGGAACAGGCACUUCUUUUGCAGUUUUAAUGGUAUGGUUUCUUGUCCUAGUCAAGCCUGUUAUUGCGAGGUGUCAACUGUAAUCAAGUCUGCCACUGAUUCUUUUACCUCAUGUUUCGUGUGUUUGCACCACCAGCUUGACCUGAGAAGCAUGUUGGCAGCUACAGUUUGUGUGUUGCAAGUUCUAGUCUGAAGUGUGUAUGUCACAUAUAUGAAGCAUGUAUCUAGUCUGAAGUGCAAUAAACAUUUCAAACUGAAUA